UACGUAGGGACCGAGCGUUGUCCGGAUUCAUUGGGCGUAAAGAGCUCGUAGGCGGCCACUCAAGUCGAAUGUGAAACCCUCGAGGCUUAACCUCGAGCCUGCAUUCGAUACUGGGCGGCUAGAGUCUGGUAGGGGGAUCUGGAAUUCCUGGUGUAGCGGUGGAAUGCGCAGAUAUCGGGAGGAACACCUGUGGCGAAGGCGGCCAUCUGGACGGCAAUUGACGCUGAGACGCGAAAGCGUGGGUAGCAAACGGG
rnacentral:rRNA from 1 species